UAGUAAGAUAGUUCCAAAGAGAGGCUUUCAGAGGAGGAGCACAGGUGGCCGGCCGCCAGCAGUAUGAGGAGCCCAGUUCACAUUGAUGAAGUGAAAGAAGCAAAAUGCAGUUUUCAAGGCUUGUUUCAAGCACUCAGCUUGUGGGACGUGAGAGAUUCUGCUGCCUGUGAUAUGCUGGAAUUAUCAUGAUCAACUACCCAGUUUGGAUUUCGCCCAGUGGCUGUGAGCUUUGUCGGGUAGAC